UUCUUUGGAGACUCUGACAGAAUUGCUCUUAUGUUCUCUCUUCUUCAUUUUUUUUCCUUCCAAAUCUAUAUCGCCCUCUCAAUAUCAAUCUCUUACCAGAUUUGGCUUUCGCAAAAGACCACGAAGCAUUGUCCACAAGUUAAUGCACCGAUUCAGCAAGGAGAACCAACACUUCCGCACCGGCCGUUGACAGUGGCACCGUCUGCACGUUCCUCUCGUUCGGCUUUUGCCAUUUCGAUCGCUACUUUCUAAAAACUCGUCGUCUCCUUGUUCGUCCUUCUUUCUGUCCCGACUUGGAAAGUUUUCUCCACUGGGCUUGACGCGCUCCGACUUAAUUCAUGCGAAAGAGCUACGACUCUUC
rnacentral:lncRNA from 1 species